UUAGUUGAAACUCCGCGAAUACUCGUCACACAAACAUAAUACACAUAUCCAAAGAAAGCCUGAAAUGUCUACUUUUAAACAAGCUAAUUAUUAUCAAAAACAAAUAUUUCCUGUUUAUAUAAUCUGCAUUGAAGUAAAGAGAGUACCGUUUUUCCUGGCUGAGCUCAUUAUCUAUAAUGCGGUCACGCCCACACGCUGUUGACAUGGUAAUGAAGAGACGAGCUGUUCAAACCAGCAAAGCGUAAUGUUUGAUAAGAUUUAAAGACUUUAGCGCAUGUUUGGAUUAUAAACUUUAUACACACACGUGAUGAAUAUCUUCAUUUAUGUCUGGACAUCGAGGAAGAGAAGCGUUUAUCUUUAACGUUACCUAAGAAGAACAAUGGAAGACGCAAUGGAGAAGGAUAUAUUCCUGAAGAAACUGUCUGCAUCCCUCUCAUCAGUAAACUAUGAAGUGGAAAAACAUAUUCACACUCUUUGGACAUAAAGUUGUAUGGUAACAUGAGCCACAUGAAGUUUACAGCUCUGUUGUUUAUCAGUUUCUUAUAAAAGUUAAGUUUUUGAAUAGGGUCCUACUGACCUUCAUUUCUAUUUUGAUUAUAUUGUUAACUUCUUAAUAAACCUCAAACAAACAUG